UCUCGAUAGCGUAAAAGUUAACUCCAAUUUGUAUGGAGUUGGAACGUUUACCUAGGCGUGCCGCUAGGGGCGCUGUUCUAACUGCAUACAAAUGUCAGUUAACUUUUACGCUAUCGA
rnacentral:pre_miRNA from 9 species